rnacentral:snoRNA from 15 species
AUGAUUUUAUUUAAACAAGAUAUGUUCUAUAGGCCCAUACAAUUGUGUUCUUAAAUUCUAGGAAGAUAAUAAGUCUAGUGGAUGAGAUGAAAGCGGUGUUGGAUCGUUUCUAAUCGGUGUAUCAAUCGAUUGGGUGGACU